CCCACCAUCAGCACCCAAAGCUGACAUUCUAACUAAACUAUUCCCUG
rnacentral:tRNA from 2 species